rnacentral:rRNA from 1 species
UAGGGAAUCUUCCGCAAUGGGCGAAAGCCUGACGGAGCAACGCCGCGUGAGUGAUGAAGGUCUUCGGAUCGUAAAACUCUGUUCUUAGGGCAGAACAAAUGUGUAAGUAACUAUGCACGUCUUGCCGGUACCUAAUCAGAAAGCCACGGCUAACUACGAGCCAGCAGCCGCGGUAAUACGUAGGUGGCAAGCGUUCUCCGGAAUCACUGGGCGUAAAGCGCGCGUAGGCGGUUUUUUAAGGCUGAUGUGAAAGCCCACGGCUCAACCGUGGAGGGUGAUUGGAAACUGGAAGACUGGAGUGCAGAAGAAGAAAGUGGAAGUCCAUGUGUAGAAGUGAAAUGCGCAGAGAUUUGGAGGAACACCAGGGGCGAAGGCGACUUUAUAGUCUGUAACUGACGCUGAUGUGCGAAAGCGUGGGGAUCAAACAGG